CCUACGGGUGGCAGCAGUGAGGAAUAUUGGUCAAUGGGCGGAAGCCUGAACCAGCCAAGUAGCGUGCAGGAUGACGGCCCUACGGGUUGUAAACUGCUUUUAUACGGGAAUAACGCGCCUUACGUGUAGGGCUUUGCCGGUACCGUAUGAAUAAGGACCGGCGAAUUCCGGGCCAGGAGCCGCGGUAAUACGGAAGGUCCGGGCGUUAUCCGGAUUUAUUGGGUCUAAAGGGAGCGUAGGCCGCAUGUCAAGCGUGCUGUGAAAUGUCCGGGCUCAACCCGGGCCUUGCAGCGCGAACUGGCGUGCUAGAGUCCGCGGAAAGCAGGCGGAAUUCGUGGUGUAGCGGUGAAAUGCUUAGAUAUGACGAAGAACCCCGAUUGCGAAGGCAGCUUGCUGCAGCGGAACUGACGCUGAUGCUCGAAAGCGCGGGUAUCGAACAGGAUUAGAUACCCCUGUAGUC
rnacentral:rRNA from 1 species